rnacentral:lncRNA from 1 species
AUCAUAGCUCACUGCAGCCUCAAACUCCUGGGCUUAAGAGAACCUUCCACCUCAAGCCUCCCGAGUAGCUGGGACUGCAGGCAUGUACCAUCAAACUCAGCUAAUUAAAUUUUGUUGUUGUUGUUGUUGUAGAGGCAAGGUCUUGCUAUGUUGCUCAGACUGAUCUUGAACUCCUGACCCUAAAGUGAUCCUCCUGCCUCAGCCUCCCAAAGUGCUGGGAUUGCAGACAUGCUUGCUUCCUCAUCACCUUCUGCCAUGAUUGUGUUUCCUGAGGUCUCCCAGCCGUGCUUCCUGUACAGCUUGUGGAAGUCUUGCCCAGAGACAUCUGAGUCUUCACACGGCGCACGGCACACUCCUUGUCAGAGAGCCCAUCCGAGUGUGAGGAUAUGUCAAUGGGAAUCUCUGGCGUCUGGGACAGCAGGUCGUCUAGCUUCUCUGCCAAGCGGUCUUCAAGUUUAUCAGCUAACUCAUCAGGACUGUUUGAGUGGUCACUGGUAUUUCCCUCUUCUCCAUCAGACACAGAGAAAUUCUCAGAGCUAAAGGUUGAAUAUGACUGGCAGCUGCUGAUACAGCGAUGGGGCCUAGAACCAAGAAGAACCAGGAGAACUUAGUCAGAGGAACAACUGCUUUUCUUUCCUUAUCUGUCACUCAUAGUAGUGGUAGAGAUAAUCUAGUUUUUUCCCUGCCAUCAAGGAGGCCUAAGAAAUCAAGAUAGGUAGAAACUAUUUAACUUUUAACAUUAAGGCAAUGGACUGAAUUUUAUCCCCCAUGAAAUUCCAUGUUGAGGCCCUAAUACCAGUGCGACUGUAUUCGGAGAUAGGGCUUUUAGGAAGUAAAUAAAGUUAAAUGGAUCAUAAGGGUGAGGUCCUGAUCAAAUAGGAUUGGCAGCCUUAUAAAAAGAGGAAGAGAUUCUCUCCAUUCCUCCCUCCCACCUUUUUUCAACAUUCAUGUGCGGGGCAAAGACCAUGUGAGGAAACAGAGAAGGUGGCUGUCUGCAAGCCAGGAAGAGAGCCCUCACCAGAAACUGAAUCUGCUGACACCUUGAUCUUGGACUUCCCCAGCUCCAGAACUUGAGAAAUAAGUUCCUGUUGUUUAAGCCAUCCAAUCUGUAGUAUUUUGUUAUGGCAGCCCAAGGUGACUAACACAAGAAGGAAAUUUUAAUUUCCCCUUUCAUUUGGUUUAUAUAUUUAUGUGACUAAACACUACACUCCAAGCUGAUGGCUAUGACUGGCCUUUGAAAAACAUCAGCUUGUCUAAUCACGUUAUGUACAUAUAUGCAUAGUAUGGAAUGUCCAAAUUGAAAUUAUGCCUCUUAUUUAGAGAGUCAUAGAUUCUCACAGGUGAAAGAGACUUUGGAGAAUCUCUGGACUAACUCAUUUCCCAGAUGAGAAAACUGGAGCCAGAGAAGGGAAGUGACUUGUUUAAGGCCACACCAUGAGAAAAGGCAGAGCUGAGGCUUGGGCUGGGUCUACACACACUUUGAUCAGUGUCCUUCUCUAACCUCCAUCCCUCACCUCCCUGUCAAUCCACCCCAGCUUCAUUUCCCAGAGCCCAGUGUCCACUGGGCAUGGUGGCCCUGGAGGCCCAAGUGCUUUCACUACCUCUGUUGACCAACCUUCAACAGAAAUGAGCAUGGAAGGAACAUUCACUCUGCAGCUGUGGGUACUGCCCAGCUAGUUAGUAGCUCAUUCCAGUUAACAUCUGAGUUUGGCUCUGAUGAGCCAACGCUUCUGGGGAGAUAAUUUGCAAAAGUUCCUCAGUUCCUUCCCGUUGUUUAUAAGCAGCUUAGUAAAUAAGGAUGUUACUAGCUUACACUGGCUUAAAAAAACAUAAGAAAACAAAUAAUAAAGACUUCCUUUUUCUUUUGCCAUUGUCUGAUCUUUCUGUAUUUCUUAGUCUAAAGAGUUUUGUUUUGUUUUGUUUUUUUCUUUUUUUUUUUUUGAGACAGAGUCUCAC